AACAGCUGAGUGCAGAGCCGCGGUGCGUUCAGGUGUUUCAGUCUCACGUGAGUCUGAAUGAAACUUUUCUUCUUCUGCAGAAGGAGGAAGUAGCUCUGCUCCGUCAGCAACCAAUCACUGCGCAUUUCCUGUUUCUGCAAAAGUCAGCUGGAUAAUGUGGGUCAGCAGCAGGUUCAUAACUCUGUGUUGGCUCGACGUCAGGAAGCUGCUUGGAAUCGUGGGAGACGGAGUCUGUUCCUGGAAGAUCCAGCUGCAGCAGGAUGAAGUCUCCUCGGUCCAGAACCAGCUCAGGUGUUCGAGUCUGUUUCCUGGAUUUACAGGGACCAGGUCUCUGCAGAACCCCAGGUCCUCAUGUCGUCUGAUUUCCUGCAGAAAGUGACGUCUCUGAACGUCUCUUCACAUAUGAACAACCUGAGCAGAGAGCAGCUGCAGGAAGUAAACGUCACGUCAGAGUCCGUCCACUGUUCUUAUCUCUGACAGAAAACAGACGACGUUAGCGAGCAGCUUUGAGCAGCACAGGAAAGUAUGGACAACUGAAACAUGUAGCUGUUUACUGCUCGUGUUCUCACCUUCACUAGGUGAACAUAGUUAGCUAUGGUUAGCCAACUAAGGUUAGCUUCAUUAGCCUUAGCUGAGCAGCACAGUAAAGGACUGAGCUAGCUGACGAUUAAAACCUGUGACUAAAAACUGGUUGUUCUUUGUUUUUCUGAUUUCAUUGGUCCAGAAUGAAAAUCAAUCGGCCGUUAUGUUCAUGGACGCUACAGGACGCAGGCUGCAGUUCAGCUAACGACCACAGGGGGCAGCAACAACAAGACUUUAUCAGCUUAAUGAAACAUCAGUCAGUUUGUUUCCAGCAGUCGACUGUGAGAGGAGUUCAACAUGGAAAUAUGUGUGUGU